rnacentral:rRNA from 1 species
UACAGAGGUGGCAAGCGUUGUUCGGAAUUACUGGGCGUAAAGGGCGCGUAGGCGGCCUGCUAAGUCGGACGUGAAAUCCCUCGGCUCAACCGAGGAACUGCGUCCGAUACUGGUGGGCUUGAAUCCGGGAGAGGGAUGUGGAAUUCCAGGUGUAGCGGUGAAAUGCGUAGAUAUCUGGAGGAACACCGGUGGCGAAGGCGGCAUCCUGGACCGGUAUUGACGCUGAGGCGCGAAAGCUAGGGGAGCAAACGGG